UACGUAGGGCGCAAGCGUUGUCCGGAAUCAUUGGGCGUAAAGAGCUCGUAGGCGGCCUGUUGCGUCCGCUGUGAAAUCCCGGGGCUCAACCCCGAGCGGUCGUGAGAAACUGGCGGGCUAGAGUGCGGGAGAGGAGAGUGGAAUUCCUGGUGUAGCGGUGAAAUGCGCAGAUAUCAGGAAGAACACCCGUGGCGAAGGCGGCUCUCUGGAACGCAACUGACGCUGAGACGCGAAAGCGUGGGGAGCAAACAGG
rnacentral:rRNA from 1 species